rnacentral:rRNA from 1 species
AUACGGAGGGUGCAAGCGUUAUUCGGAAUUACUGGGCGUAAAGGGCGCGUAGGCGGCGCAUUAAGUCAGUUGUGAAAGCCCGGGGCUCAACCCCGGAAGUGCAAUUGAAACUGGUGUGCUUGAGUAUGGUAGAGGGAAGUGGAAUUCCUGGUGUAGCGGUGAAAUGCGUAGAUAUCAGGAGGAACACCCGUGGCGAAGGCGACUUCCUGGACCAAUACUGACGCUGAGGCGCGAAGGCGUGGGGAGCAAACAGGAUUAGAAACCCCGGUAGUCC